rnacentral:tRNA from 1 species
GUAUCGCUCAGUGGCCGAGCGCGUGCCUAGCACACACGAGGUCCUGGGUUCAAUCCCUAGUAC